rnacentral:rRNA from 1 species
AUUGAACGCUGGCGGCAGGCCUAACACAUGCAAGUCGAGCGAGCGGCGGACGGGUGAGUAAUGUCUGGGAAACUGCCUGAUGGAGGGGGGUAACUACUGGAAACGGUUGCUAAUACCGCAUACCAUCUGAUGUGCCCAGAUGGGAUUAGCUAGUUGGUGGGGUAACGGCGCACCUGGGCGACGAUCCCUCGCUGGUCUGCGAGGAUGACCGGCCAAACUGGAACGUGGACACGGUCCGACCUCCUACGGGAGGCAGCAGUGGGGAAUAUUGCAAAAUGGGGGCAAGCCUGAUGCAGCCAUGCCGCGUGUUUGAAGAAGUCCUUCGGGUUGUAAAGCACUUUCAGCGGGGAGGCGUUACCCGCAGAAGAAGCACCGGCUAACUCCGUGCCAGCAGCCGCGGUAAUUC